rnacentral:rRNA from 1 species
UACAGUAUUCAUACCACUCUAAGCACAGAUUGUCUCCUCUUAUUUGGGAAGCUAAGCAGGGCCUGGCCUGGUCAGUAAAUGGAUGGGAGACCAUGACAGAAACUGGAUUUUUACAGCUU